rnacentral:rRNA from 1 species
GACGAACGCUGGCGGCGUGCUUAACACAUGCAAGUCGAACGGUGAAGGGGUCUGCUUUUGUGGGCCCUGGAUGAGUGGCGAACGGGUGAGUAACCCGUGAGUAACCUGCCCCCUUCUUCUGGAUAACCGCAUGAAAGUGUGGCUAAUACGGGAUAUUCUGGGUCUGUCGCAUGAUGGGUCUGGGAAAGAUUGCGCCUUUGGGUGUUUUUGGUGGGGGAUGGGCUCGCGGCCUAUCAGCUUGUUGGUGGGGUGAUGGCCUACCAAGGCGGUGACGGGUAGCCGGCCUGAGAGGGUGGACGGUCACACUGGGACUGAGACACGGCCCAGACUCCUACGGGAGGCAGCAGUGGGGAAUAUUGCACAAUGGGCGCAAGCCUGAUGCAGCGACGCCGCGUGAGGGAUGGAGGCCUUCGGGUUGUAAACCUCUUUCGCCAGUGAAGCAGGCCUGCUCCUUGUGGGUGGGUUGACGGUAGCUGGAUAAGAAGCGCCGGCUAACUACGUG